rnacentral:rRNA from 1 species
AUGCCCAUUUUUAUUUUCUUGCUAACUAUGUUGGGCUGUGGCAACCCAUUCCUCUGCCUUAUGGGCUGGCCAAACUGGCCCAUCUCUCCCGAGCAAACCCCUCUUCUCCUUUCUUUGUACGUUCACAACAACUCAAGGUUAAUGAGACUACGAGCCAAGGUUAAUAUGGGGAGAGGAAGAGGACAUGGAGUUGUAGCAGCGAUUUCUAGAGAUUCAGACGGACACUUCUUGGGAGCCUCGGCAGUGGUCUUCAGAGGUAUAUCUGAACCAGCGACUCUCAAAUGCAUGGCGAUCAGGGAGGCUCUAGCUCUAGCUGAUGAUUUGAACGUGGAAAACAUCCAGGUGGCCUCCGAUGCGAAGGUGGUGGUACAAGAUAUCCAGGAGAAGAAUCCCACAGAGUAUGGAGCUCGAAUAUCGAGGCUCACAAGCUCGCGAAGCAUGCAUUAUCCCUUCCGUCUGGCCGACAUGUUUGGUUGGGACAGCCGCACGGUCUCUCUUUCGUCCCUGUAA